UGUUAUUGCUCAUUUACCGGAAAUACAAGUGCAAUGCCGAAAAAAUACAAAUCCAAGCUAUUUGAAAGAUAAUCUGUUUUCAGUAAUAUGAUGGAAAAAUGCAGAGUUUGCUUGCUAAAAUACCAAAACAUGGUCAACAUUUUUAAGCAAUCUGUGGAGCGUGAGAUUUCCUUGGCUGAUAUGAUUGUGCAGUCCACCGGCUUUUCAGUUCAAAAAGGAGACCCAUUUUCCGAAUUUAUUUGUGCAUCUUCGUCCGUGGGAUCACAGUCAGCACAGUGCCAGGAGUAGCCGCGAAUCUUGGGCGACUUCUUGAGCGGCGGAUCGAGGCAGGCG